rnacentral:rRNA from 1 species
CGAACGCACCUUCGGGUGAGUGGCGGACGGGUGAGUAACGCGUGGGAACGUGCCCUUUGGUUCGGAACAACACAGGGAAACUUGUGCUAAUACCGAAUGUGCCCUUCGGGGGAAAGAUUUAUCGCCAUUGGAGCGGCCCGCGUUGGAUUAGGUAGUUGGUGGGGUAAAGGCCCACCAAGCCUACGAUCCAUAGCUGGUCUGAGAGGAUGAUCAGCCACACUGGGACUGAGACACGGCCCAG